rnacentral:rRNA from 1 species
UACGAAGGGGGCUAGCGUUGCUCGGAAUCACUGGGCGUAAAGCGCACGUAGGCGGAUCUUUAAGUCAGGGGUGAAAUCCCAAGGCUCAACCUUGGAACUGCCUUUGAUACUGGGGAUCUCGAGUCCGGAAGAGGUUGGUGGAACUGCGAGUGUAGAGGUGAAAUUCGUAGAUAUUCGCAAGAACACCAGUGGCGAAGGCGGCUCACUGGCCCGAUACUGACGCUGAGGCACGAAAGCGUGGGGAGCAAACGGG